rnacentral:rRNA from 1 species
GACGAACGCUGGCGGCGUGCUUAACACAUGCAAGUCGAACGGAAGGGCCCUGCUUUUGUGGGGUGCUCGAGUGGCGAACGGGUGAGUAACACGUGAGUAACCUGCCCUUGACUUUGGGAUAACUUCAGGAAACUGGGGCUAAUACCGGAUAGGAGCUCCUGCUGCAUGGUGGGGGUUGGAAAGUUUCGGCGGUUGGGGAUGGGCUCGCGGCUUAUCAGCUUGUUGGUGGGGUAGUGGCUUACCAAGGCUUUGACGGGUAGCCGGCCUGAGAGGGUGACCGGCCACAUUGGGACUGAGAUACGGCCCAGACUCCUACGGGAGGCAGCAGUGGGGAAUAUUGCACAAUGGGCGGAAGCCUGAUGCAGCAACGCCGCGUGCGGGAUGACGGCCUUCGGGUUGUAAACCGCUUUCGCCUGUGACGAAGCGUGAGUGACGGUAAUGGGUAAAGAAGCACCGGCUAACUACGUG